rnacentral:rRNA from 1 species
GACGAACGCUGGCGGCGUGCUUAACACAUGCAAGUCGAACGGAAAGGCCCUGCUUUUGUGGGGUGCUCGAGUGGCGAACGGGUGAGUAACACGUGAGUAACCUGCCCUUGACUUUGGGAUAACUUCAGGAAACUGGGGCUAAUACCGGAUAGGAGCUCCUGCUGCAUGGUGGGGGUUGGAAAGGUUCGGCGGUUGGGGAUGGACGCGCGGCUUAUCAGCUUGUGGGUGGGGUAGUGGCUUACCAAGGCUUUGACGGGUAGCCGGCCUGAGAGGGUGACCGGCCACAUUGGGACUGAGAUACGGCCCAGACUCCUACGGGAGGCAGCAGUGGGAAAUAUUGCACACUGGGCGGCAGCCUGAUGCAGCAACUCCGCGUGCGGGAUGACGGCCUUCGGGUUGUAAACCGCUUUCGCCUGUGACGAAGCGUGAGUGACGGUAAUGGGUAAAGAAGCACCGGCUAACUACGUG